CCAGUAAUGUCGUUAGGGUGUCCUGAUUUAUCGAUAGACGCACCUUCGACCAUUAAGAAGAAACCUUUAUCAUUCUUUUCUAGUUUAGAUAAGGCACUGUUUUC
rnacentral:sRNA from 21 species